AGUGGAAAGAAGAAGUGCCUACUUCUCGCCUGAUUGAUAAUAUCGAUAGGCAAAUGUCACUAAGAUAGUUAUCUUAUUGUCAAUAUGUGGGUACUUAAUGUGCUCACUUUUUAUUUAAACU
rfam:Clostridium spiroforme DSM 1552 Scfld_02_2 genomic scaffold, whole genome shotgun sequence.